rnacentral:misc_RNA from 1 species
GAUGAAGAACGCAGCGAAAUGCGAUAAGUAAUGUGAAUUGCAGAAUUCAGUGAAUCAUCGAAUCUUUGAACGCACAUUGCGCCCGCCAGCAUUCUGGCGGGCACGCCUGUUCGAGCGUCAUUUCAACCCUCGAGCCCCCCCGGGGGCCUCGGUGUUGGGGGACGGCACACCAGCCGCCCCCGAAAUGCAGUGGCGACCCCGCCGCAGCCUCCCCUGCGUAGUAGCACACACCUCGCACCGGAGCGCGGAGGCGGUCACGCCGUAAAACGCCCAACUUUCUUAGAGUUGACCUCGGAUCAGGUAGGAAUACCCGCUGAACUUAAGCAUAUCAAUAAGCGGAGGA